UACAGAGGUCUCAACCGUUGUUCGGAUUCAUUGGGCGUAAAGGGUGCGUAGGCGGUCGUGCAAGUCGGAUGUGAAAUCUCAGGGCUCAACCCUGAAACUGCAUUCGAUACUGCGCGGCUAGAGUGCUGGAGGGGAGACUGGAAUUUACGGUGUAGCAGUGAAAUGCGUAGAUAUCGUAAGGAACACCAGUGGCGAAGGCGGCUCACUGGCCCGAUACUGACGCUGAGGCACGAAAGCGUGGGGAGCAAACAGG
rnacentral:rRNA from 1 species